rnacentral:rRNA from 1 species
UGGGGAAUAUUGCACAAUGGGCGCAAGCCUGACGCAGCGACGCCGCGUGAGGGAAGAAGGCCUUCGGGUUGUAAACCUCUUUCAGUAGGGACGAAGCUACUCGGGUGAAUAGCCCAGAGGGUGACGGUACCUACAGAAGAAGCCCCGGCUAACUACGUGCCAGCAGCCGCGGUAAUACGUAGGGGGCAAGCGUUGUCCGGAUUUAUUGGGCGUAAAGAGCUCGUAGGUGGUUCGGUAAGUCGGAUGUGAAAUCUCCAGGCUCAACCUGGAGGGGUCAUUCGAUACUGCCGUGACUAGAGUUCGGUAGGGGAGUGUGGAAUUCCUGGUGGAGCGGUGAAAUGCGCAGAUAUCAGGAGGAACACCCGUAGCGAAGGCGGCACUCUGGGCCGAUACUGACACUGAGGAGCGAAAGCGUGGGGAGCGAACAGGAUUAGAUACC